GACGAACGCUGGCGGCGUGCUUAACACAUGCAAGUCGAACGAUGAAGCUGGAGCUUGCUCCGGUGGAUUAGUGGCGAACGGGUGAGUAACACGUGAGCAAUCUGCCCUUGACUCUGGGAUAACUGCGGGAAACUGUAGCUAAUACCGGAUACGAGGCUCGAAGGCAUCUUCGGGUCUGGAAAGAAUUUCGGUCAAGGAUGAGCUCGCGGCCUAUCAGCUUGUUGUUGAGGUAAGGGCUCAACAAGGCGACGACGGGUAGCCGGCCUGAGAGGGUGACCGGCCACACUGGGGCUGAGACACGGCCCAGACUCCUACGGGAGGCAGCAGUGGGGAAUAUUGCACAAUGGGCGAAAGCCUGAUGCAGCAACGCCGCGUGAGGGAUGAAGGCCUUCGGGUUGUAAACCUCUUUUAGCAGGGAAGAAGCGAAAGUGACGGUACCUGCAGAAAAAGCACCGGCUAACUACGUGCCAGCCGCCGCGGUAA
rnacentral:rRNA from 1 species